rnacentral:rRNA from 1 species
UACGUAGGGUGCAGGCGUUAAUCGGAAUUACUGGGCGUAAAGCGUGCGCAGGCGGUUUGCUAAGACAGGUGUGAAAUCCCCGGGCUCAACCGCGGGCCUGCAGCCGAUACGGGCAGGCUAGAGUUCGGUAGGGGAGACUGGAAUUCCUGGUGUAGCGGUGAAAUGCGCAGAUAUCAGGAGGAACACCGAUGGCGAAGGCAGGUCUCUGGGCAUUAACUGACGCUGAGGAGCGAAAGCAUGGGGAGCGAACAGG